rnacentral:lncRNA from 1 species
AAUUCUCAUCAGUCUUGCCUUUGCUAUACUAGCAUGUCUAUUGGUUGUCUUUUAUUUUGCAGUAAAUUUUAUACAAUAAUGUAAGAAAUUAUUUUUUUUAAAGUUUAGUAUUUAUUCAAAGUUACAAGCAGAGGUCAGGUUGUUAUAUGCAUUGUUGAAUUAUCUCCCUUUAUACAAGGAGAAUAUCAGCUGAAUGUUAGUUAUAAUUAGACAAAUUACUGUGUAAAGUACAAAGUCAGCUAGAUAACUCAGAUUAAAUGAAACACAGAUUCAUACUUUAUUAUAUCAUGUAAAAAAUCAUUUUAAUACUUUACUGUUAGAAUAUAAAGUAAGUUAAAUAC